GACGAACGCUGGCGGCGUGCUUAACACAUGCAAGUCGAACGGAAAGGCCCUGCUUGCAGGGUACUCGAGUGGCGAACGGGUGAGUAACCCGUGGGUGAUCUGCCCUGCACUUCGGGAUAAGCCGGGGAAACUGGGUCUAAUACCGGAUAGGAGCCAUUUUUAGUGUGAUGGUUGGAAAGUUUUUUCGGUGUAGGAUGAGCUCGCGGCCUAUCAGCUUGUUGGUGGGGUAAUGGCCUACCAAGGCGGCGACGGGUAGCCGGCCUGAGAGGGUGGACGGCCACAUUGGGACUGAGAUACGGCCCAGACUCCUACGGGAGGCAGCAGUGGGGAAUAUUGCACAAUGGGCGCAAGCCUGAUGCAGCGACGCCGCGUGGGGGAUGACGGCCUUCGGGUUGUAAACUCCUUUCGCUAGGGACGAAGCUUUUUGUGACGGUACCUAGAUAAGAAGCACCGGCUAACUACGUG
rnacentral:rRNA from 1 species